CAGCCGCCGCGGUAAAACCAGCAGCCCAAGUGGUGGUCGCGCUUAUUGGGCCUAAAGCGCUCGUAGCCUGGCCGGUAAGUUCCCCGUGAAAUCGGGUCGCCCAACGAUUCGGCUUGCGGGGAAUACUGUCGGUCUUGGGGCCGGGAGACGCCGAGGGUACUCCGGGGGUAGCGGUGAAAUGCUGUAAUCCUCGGGGGACUACCAGUGGCGAAGGCGCUCGGCGAUAACGGGCCUGACGGUGAGGGGCGAAAGCUGGGGGCGCGAACGGGAUUAGAUACCCCAGUAGUCCCUGUCUCUUAUA
rnacentral:rRNA from 1 species